rnacentral:tRNA from 1 species
CGGGGCGUAGCGCAGCCCGGUAGCGCGCUUGCUUUGGGAGCAAGAUGUCGCUGGUUCGAAUCCAGUCGCCCCGA